UACGUAGGGUGCGAGCGUUGUCCGGAAUUAUUGGGCGUAAAGGGCUCGUAGGCGGUUUGUCGCGUCGGGAGUGAAAACCCAGGGCUUAACUCUGGGCUUGCUUUCGAUACGGGCAGACUAGAGGUAUGCAGGGGAGAACGGAAUUCCUGGUGUAGCGGUGAAAUGCGCAGAUAUCAGGAGGAACACCGGUGGCGAAGGCG
rnacentral:rRNA from 1 species